GUAACCUACCCUCAGGACUGAGAUAACCCCGGGAAACUGGGGCUAAUAUUAGAUAGAUAAAAGGUACUGGAAUGUUCUUUUAUCCAAAGCUUUUGCGCCUGAGGAUGGGCCUGCGUCCGAUUAGGUUGUUGGUGGUGUAAUGGCCCACCAAGCCUGCGAUCGGUACGGGCAGUGAGAGCUGAAGCCCGGAGUUGGGGACUGAGACAAGGCCCCAGGCCCUACGGGGCGCAGCAGGCGCGAAACCUCUGCAAUGCGGGAAACCGUGACAGGGGGAUCCCAAGUGCUCAUGCAUUGCAUGGGCUGUUCUUUGGUCUAAGUAACCAGAGGAGUAAGGGCUGGGCAAGACCGGUGCCAGCCGCCGCGGUAAUACCGGCAGCUCAAGUGGUAGCCGCGAUUAUUGGGCCUAAAGCGUUCGUAGCCGGAUAAGUAAGUCUUUGGUUAAAUCCUGCAACUCAACUGUGGGAAAUCUAGGGAUACUGCUUGUCUUGAGACCGGGAGAGGUUAGAGGUACUCCUAGGGUAGGGGUGAAAUCCUGUAAUCCUAGGGGGACCACCUGUGGCGAAGGCGUCUAACUGGAACGGGUCUGACGGUGAGGGACGAAACCUAGGGGAGCGAGCCGGAUUAGAUACCCGGGUAGUCCUAGGCGUAAAUGAUGCGAGUUAAGUGUGGGGGCAUCUACGAGAUGGCCCUGUGCUGUAGGGUAGCCGUUAAACUCGCCGCCUGGGGAGUACGGUCGCAAGGCUGAAACUUAAAGGAAUUGGCGGGGGAGCACCACAAGAGGUGGAGGCUGCGG
rnacentral:rRNA from 1 species